rnacentral:lncRNA from 1 species
CUGCCACAGAAAAGGGGCCAUUUCCUGGUGAGGGUGUGAAAUGACUUCCCUCUAGAAAUCUCCCUCCUGUGUCAAUGACCGCCAUGCCAGCAGCCAGGCCGAAUGAGAAACAGAUUACGGUUGAACCAAUAAACCAGAUCUGGCCACGGACCCCUUGCAGUACCUCCAAGGACCCCUGCCACUUUGAGUACCCCUGACCUAUGCAACUGUACACAAUUCUUCCCAAAGGCCAAAUUAACAAAGCCUCCACAUUUCCCCCUGACUCAAGAUGUGAUAUGUUGUCAUCUUUGUUAACCCAGAAGUAGAAGCUUGUGUAGUUUAGUCAGCUGUGUGAUUAACUUCUGGGUCUAUACUUGCAAAAAAUUAACAGUUCCGGCGGUUUGUGAAGUCUCCACCCUCACAAAAGAAAACUCGGCUGACAGAGAUACUAGUCAAAAGUUUUAGAACACCUAUUCAGUCAAGGGUUUUUCUUUGUUUUUACUUUUUUCUACAUUGUAGAAUAAUAGUGAAGACAUCAGAACUAUGAAUAACACAUGUGGAAUCAGGUGCCAAAAGCACCUAAAGGCCUCUCAGGCCGUGAGAAACAAGAUUCUCUGGUCUGAUGAAGCCAACAUUGAACUCUUUGGCCUGAAUGCCUAGCGUCACGUCUGGAGGAAACCUGGCACCAUCCCUACGGUGAAGCAUGGUGGUGGCAGCAUCAUGCUGUGGGGUAUUUUUCAGCAGCAAUGACUUGGAGACUAGUCAGGAUUGAGGGAAAGAUGAACGGAGCAAAGGAUAAAGAGAUCGUUGAUGAAAUCCUGCUCAGACUAGGGUGAAGGUUUACCUUUCAACAGGACAACGACCCUAAGCACACAGCCAAGACAACGCAGGAGUGGCUUCGGGACAAAUCUCUGAAUGUCCUUGAGUGGCCCAGCCAGAGCCUGGACUUGAACCCGAUCUAACAUUUCUGGAGAGACCUGAAAAAAGUGGUGCAGCGACGCUCCCCAUCCAACCCGACAGAGCUUUAGAGGAUCUACAGAGAAGAAUGAGAGAACUUCCCAAAUACCGGUGUGCCAAGCUUGUAGCAUCAUACCCAAGAAGACUCGAGGCUGUAAUCGCUGCCAAGGGUGCUUCAACAAAGUACUGAG